UACAAACAGGCUGAUGGAGAAAAGAGAGACUCUCUUGUCAUUAUUACUAGUGGCACGCCGCACGCAGGCAUCAUGAUUCAUGGGAGCUAGCAACCCUGGUGAGAUGGACGGGAGGGACCUGUCUGUCCUUCCUGGCUGGCUGGCUGGGCAUAAUUUCGGCGGCCUUGGAAUUUAUGAGGAUUCUGGUAGGGAGUGUAUUCGUCAAUUCGUGCCACUGCCGCUCUGGGCCCAUCAUCUUGUGUUUGGUUUGUGCAUCUCCCGGUGCUCUCAAACACGAAGCUGCGAGUCACUGUUACCAUGGAUGAUCGAGGCUUGUCGUCGUCGUCGCGGGUCCAUUCAUUGAUCGCGGAUUUAAAACCAAACAAUCCUGGUAGUUGUUUGUAGUUUUGCUAGACAAGGAUCCAUCAUCACUCGCUCACUCACUCAUAGAGGCCGUCAGGCCUGUCGCCCAGUAGUAGCGACGGGCGACGGUGGAGAUCGUGCGAGGCUGUACUACCUGUACGCCUCCAUCGUCGCCUCGCACCAUCAAUCCUGUGCGGUGCCAGAUCCUCCCCGGGUCUUGUCUUGUCGCAGGUGGAAGCCAUGUCCGCCGCGGACGCAGCCGGCGGCAAGGAGGCGGCGCCGGCGUGCGACUCCUGCACGGGCAUGCCGGCGGUGGUGUACUGCCGGGCCGACUCCGCGAGGCUGUGCCUGCCGUGCGACCGCCACGUGCACGGCGCCAACACCGUGUCCACUCGCCACGCCCGGGCGCCGCUCUGCGCCGGGUGCCGCGCAGCCGCUGCCGCUGCGGCCCGCCACGCGCGGCGGCUUCCUCUGCGCCAGCUGCCGCUUGGGGGAGGAGAAGGAUGAGCGGGACGGCGGUGGCGCCGCCGACAGUAGUAGCGACGACGGUGGCGCGGUGGAAGGGUACGCCGGGUGCCCCUCGGUCGCCGAUCUCGCGACCAUCCUGGGCGCCGGCUCCGCGUGGGAGGAGCCCCAGACGCUCCGCUUGGAGAGCCGGAGCUCCGGCGGCGAGCUGGCUGACGAGGUCAUCCGCCAGCUGGUGGAGCUCGCCAGGUCGGAGGCGGCGGCUCGCGCUGAGAUGGAGCAGCUUACUCCAUGGCCGUCGCCGGAGCUUGCUGCCAUUACUGGACAGUACGCCGACUUCGGGGCUCUCGACGCUGACACCGCCUGGCAUGAUGAUGCAGCAGCCAUCGCGGCAGCAGUAGUGCCUUCCACUGAGGAGGAGCAGCAAGCGUGGAUCGCGGCCGGCUGCGACGUCGGCGCGUGCCGGACGGAGGAGAAGGCGCGCGAGAACGACGCUGCUCUGGCCGAGCCGUGUCUGUCCUCGUUCGUGGAGAUGUCAGAGAUCUGCCCCGCCAGCGUCGUCGUCACCCUCAGCCACGGCGGGGACGAGGGCGUCGACAGCAGCGGCAAGACAGCCCCGCGGCCGCAGCUGGCCGCGCCGACGCCGGCGAAGGGCGGCUACGACGUGGCCUACCCCGACCGCGGCACGGUGAUCUCGCGCUACAAGGAGAAGCGGAAGAACAGGAGGUUCGACAAGCAGAUCCGGUACGAGUCGCGCAAGGCCCGCGCCGACGGCCGGAUGCGGAUCAAGGGGCGGUUCGCCAAGUCCGGCGAGGUCUGAGACGCGUGCGGGCGCUCACGCCAUGCCAACGGCAACGAGCUGGUAGGGGGACCGUGCGUGUGUUUCACGUGGGUGGUUAGGUUUGGUAUUUUGGUUGGUGUUGCAGCUCGCUGCUCGCACGUGUCGAUGCGUACUAGUCUACGUUGAUUAGAGACGGUUGUCUACUCUUUCCUCAUUCGUUUAAUAAAACACGGCUCCACCACCAAUGCAAGUUUCACCCCGAUCGAUUGGAAGCGUGUGUUUACGUGGAGAACUCGCUAAGUUAGAUGUCGUUUGGUAAUGUAAUAGAUAACCGAUAUUGUUAAAUUAUAUUUGUUUAGGUUUAAUUAUAAUUAAUAAUAUACUAGAAAUAGAUACCGGCUUAUUCGAACUUGUUACUGCCGGUAUUCGAGAGUGAAUCAUUACCAUUAUUAUUUAAGUUGUAUUUCGUGAAUCAAACGACACAUUAGUUUCUAGUCAAAUUUGUUAUUCA